UACAGAGGUCUCAAGCGUUGUUCGGAUUCAUUGGGCGUAAAGGGUGCGUAGGUGGCGGGGUAAGUCGGAUGUGAAAUCCCGGGGCUCAACCUCGGAACUGCAUUCGAUACUGCUUUGCUAGAGUACUGGAGAGGAGAUUGGAAUUUACGGUGUAGCAGUGAAAUGCGUAGAUAUCGUAAGGAAGACCAGUGGCGAAGGCGGAUCUCUGGACAGUUACUGACACUGAGGCACGAAGGCCAGGGGAGCAAACGGG
rnacentral:rRNA from 1 species